UACGUAGGGUGCAAGCGUUGUCCGGAAUUAUUGGGCGUAAAGGGCUCGUAGGCGGUCCAUCACGUCGGGAGUGAAAAGCUGGGGCUUAACCCCAGUCCUGCUUCCGAUACGGGUGGACUAGAGGUAGGUAGGGGAGAACGGAAUUCCUGGUGUAGCGGUGAAAUGCGCAGAUAUCAGGAGGAACACCGGUGGCGAAGGCGGUUCUCUGGGCCUUACCUGACGCUGAGGCGCGACAGCGUGGGGAGCAAACAGG
rnacentral:rRNA from 1 species